CUACGGGACGCACCAGUAGGGAAUAUUGGACAAUGGGCGAAAGCCUGAUCCAGCAACGCCGCGUGCACGAUGACGGCCUUCGGGUUGUAAAGUGCUUUUAGAGGAGAUGAGAAAGGACAGUAUCCUCUGAAUAAGCCUCGGCGAACUACGUGCCAGCAGCCGCGGUAAAACGUAGGAGGCAAGCGUUAUCCGGAUUUAUUGGGCGUAAAGCGCGUGCAGGCGGUUUGACAAGUUGGAUGUGAAAGCUCCCGGCUUAACUGGGAGAGGUCGUUCAAAACUGUCAGACUAGAGAAUGGGAGAGGGAGGUGGAAUUCCGGGUGUAGUGGUGAAAUGCGUAGAUAUCCGGAGGAACACCAGUGGCGAAAGCGGCCUCCUAGACCAUUUCUGACGCUAAGACGCGAAAGCUAGGGUAGCAAACGGGAUUAGAUACCCCCGUAGUC
rnacentral:rRNA from 1 species